rnacentral:lncRNA from 1 species
UCCAUAUUUUUUCUGUUGGUCGCACAUGAUCUGGGCUCAUGCCUGGGCUACGCCCAGCAUAGAGGUGUGGAAAAGCCCGGGCCUCAAGUCGGGCCCAGUAUUGGUUAUGUUCGGCCCGAAACUUGGUUGUCUGGGCCGGGCAGGCCCGUUCAUCUCUGUGUUGACCACGGCAUUUCGCGAAGGUGCGACUCUUCGGCGGGACUUUUGAAGCAUUACCAGACCGUCGUCGAGGGCGGCUGGCACGGGGGAGCACAUCUCGCCGGCGGGGCCGGAACGGCUUCCUUCGGGGGGAGGGUGAGCAGCAGCGAGAUGGGAAUGUCCACAGAGCUCCUCCUGCCUCGCGCUUCUUCUUUCAUCACGUCGGCAAUGUGAAUGUAGCUUGGAGGGGUUGAGAUCGGCGCUUGCUGCUAUACAUCGGGUUGAACGAUCUCAGAUGGGUCUGAUUCUGUCUCUGUUUGCGCCGGACUUCUUCGGGCAUGAUGAUUGGAAGGUCGCUCCGGGAAAAAUGCGAAUUCUCAUACCAUUAAUCGUCUGGACUCCUUACUCUUUUUGGAUUACAUGUCGUACCCUGCUCUAGGGCCCUGUGACGACUAUCUAUGGGGGCGAUGCGAGUGAUCUCUCUAUAGUUUUCAUCACGGGUUGCUGCACUGCCAAUUAUAUAUGCACCCCGCCUCUUCGGUACUCUAUCUCUCACUUGCCUGUUCUUUCAUCUCCUCUCCCUCGUCCUGUUUAUGUUUCUCACUCUCGGAUGAGGUAAUCAUUUCCGCGACGUACUAUGCUGGCGACCGAGUCGAUGACUUUUUACAUGUAGGAAGAUUUCUUAUUCAAAGGUUUAUGACACAGAUCUAGUGCUCAGAUACCAUAAGUAAAACUCAAGUGGUCUGAAUAAUUCAUAUUCGAAGGAUCUGGUGAGUUUUUGGAAUUAAUAAUAACUAGAAAAAUACUUAAAAAUUGAACAAGAAAUUAGGAAACUGAAAAUUAUGAUUGAUACAUUAUUCAUUUUUGCUAAACAUCAACAAUCUAUGGACAAUUCUUACUUAUAUAUUUUGUCGAGUUUAUUUUUAGAUGUCACAUGAUUCACUGAGAUUUAGCUCGCAGUGCCAUCUUUUUUGGAUCAUCUAAGGGGAAUCAGUGCGAUGGCGUUUUGUGCAUGUUGGCGUCAGUCCAUAGAUAUCGUUAGUUUCCGGGUCUUGAGAUGUAAAUCUUGCUCCAACCUCGGGAAGCUUGCUAUUUCAUGCAGCUUCAUCUGGAGCAUCAUUAACAUUACCUUCAUUAAAUAUUUUAUCCAGAAUUUAAAAAAGUGUUUAGGCUAUUGUGCUUCUUGCUUUCCUCUUGUAGCAACAGUAAGGUGCACACAAAAGCCCAAGUGUGUUGGUCUAUCUAAUUUAGUGAUUCAGCCAAUUUGGGGUGAAUAAUGAGAGAGCAUGUCGUUGUAAAAAAUAUUGUGUACUUCAAAGGUGUGAUAUGUUUUGAUGUGCGAGGGUAUCUGUCUAAUGAAUGACAUAUUGUUUCUAUGUUUCGAGCCAUAUAAUUUUAAAUCUUUCCUUCGAGAAUCUGGCCCUGAAAUCCCUGAAACUGGCGAAAACGAGAAUCGAGCAUCAGGACAGAUGAUGUCGUCCUUGAGAAUCUAGGAUCGGUAAAUAUGAUGUUUUCCUUAACGCCUUACACUUUUGAGGAUCUAGGACUAAACAUAUGCAUCUGGUUUUAAAAGCUUGUCAACUGUAAGGUAUAGAUUAAAAUGCUAAAGUUUAUUCAUAAAACUGAGUAUCUGGGGAGGAUGUUGAGGAUCUUCGUGGCGCGACUCAGUUCUCAUGUUUAGUAGCCAUACACGAAUAUAUUGUAUUCCCCGACAUCAGAAUCGACACAAUGGGGAAAAAUGAUGUAGGACAUUUUUUCUAAAACACCCCUGAAAUGCCAAACCAUUUAAUUUUAUCUAUAGGGCCAUCUCAAUACCGAAAAGGACAAGCAGGUACUGUUGGGGGUACAUGGAGAGCAGUAUUGCAGCCUUCACAUAUAACAAAUUCCAUUUGAAAAUCCUUCGAGACCAAGUCAUAGAUACAAAACAAUAUACCGAUACUGUUGUACUCUGACCGUUUAGAGGUGUUACUUUGAAGCCAUUGUCUUUGAUUGGGAAGGCUUACCUGUGAUGGCCUUCUUCACUUUUGCAAUCGAGUGUUUGACUUUUGACUUAACACCUGAUAGUAUAUUGUGAGAUUUCUUAUGCGCUGGCUUUGGUUCUCCUUCUGUCAUCUCAAUUGUUGCAGAAACAUCAGUACCUGAUUUGUCUGCAUUAUGUUCUUCUUCAUCUCUCUCUUCUUCUUCUUCUUCAGAUUUCUCCUCUUCAAUUUGUACGUGUGUUACAUCUUCACUUGAUUCAUCUUUGCUGAUUGGGAGAUUUUUUUCUUCCCUAGUAUUUUCUGGCACAUAAAUACCUUCGUUUGUAGACCCAUUUUGAAAAUUCAAUAGAUAAAACUUGUCCGAAGUUAAUUCUUUUGCUUCCUCAACUGGGAUUUCUCCAGUGCUAUUUUCAUCAGAAAUUCUUCCCUUUUUAUCAUCAACCUGAGUCCUUACUUUUCCUUCUGGGGCAGAUUCUGAAGCUUCUGGAAUCUGGUUGACUUCUCUAACUGGGGGUAUUGAUUUCUGUAUUGGAUGCUGGGUACUCGAGAUAGAAUUUUCACUCCCUUCGGCUUUCUUUGUUUCAAUGACAAUCGUUUCUGAUGUAAGAUCCACAGUCAAAGCUUUUUCGAGCAUCUCAAUAUUUGGAUGGUAUUCUUUGGUUUCCUCAAAUUUCUGCCUUCCUUCCUCUUGAAAAAUCUUAUUGUUUGCAUUUUCAGCAAGCAAUAGGGUAUCUGGACUUUCGUGUAGGUUCUGAUUAGCAUUGAAGGAUGCCCUUUUUUCUGUUACUUCAGCUUCAUCACUCUUUUCUUUCGUCAUUGGAGCAGGAUUUAUGAUUUCUCCAUUUUUCGUUUCACAUUUUGUUUUACUUUUUUCUAAUGUUGCAUUUUUCUUCUCGUCUUUGGGUAGUUCAUGGCUGAUCUCAGGCAUCAAACCUUCCUUUUCGGCAUUGUUGAUCAACAUUUCUGACACGGGCAAGACUAUAUCAGUUUUGUUAGGCUUUCCUUCAUCACUGUUGUUUGCACUGUUUUGUUUGUCACUGCUCUGAUCUUCCAGUAUCAAUGUAACAUCAUUGAAAACUUCAGUUGGAUUUUGUGACGUACAUUCUUCUGUCUUUUCUUGUUUGCCUGAUGAAAGGCCUGAGUUCUCUUGCUGUUUUGUAUUGUCUGCUCCUCCAGAACCAUCUCUGGCGUCUUCUUCUUUGAUGCCAAUGCAUUGCUUAUCACCUUCUUCUCUCAGUAUUCGGUCUGUCAGUAGCUGUGACACAGGCAAAUGGCUAAUGCCAAUCUGUUUGUUUUCUUCCCUUUGUGAUGUAUCAAGUUCUGGCAGCUUAUCAUUGUCAAUUCCCGUACAUGAAUCUUCUCGUCUUCUUUUUUCCUCUACUACAUUUUGGAUUUCUCUUCCUGGAUCACUGACAAGUUCCAUUUCUUUCGCUUCUGUCGUCUUUUCUUUCAAGAUAGUCUGUUCGAUGCUCUUUUUUCCUUCUGCUCCGUUGUGGAAUUCUAAAUGCUCGACUGAUUCAGCUUUAACUGGUUCUGCUUCAGGUGGUUCUCCAAGCGCUUUCUCUAUAAUUUGGAAGCUAGAAGCUUCAACUUUGCCCUAAAAGGAAUGGC